rnacentral:rRNA from 6 species
CCCAGACAGCCAGGAUGUUGGCUUAGAAGCAGCCAUCAUUUAAAGAAAGCGUAAUAGCUCACUGGUCGAGUCGGCCUGCGCGGAAGAUGUAACGGGGCUAAACCAUGCACCGAAGCUGCGGCAGCGACGCUGAUGCGUUGUUGGGUAGGGGAGCGUUCUGUAAGCCUGCGAAGGUGACCUGUGAGGGUUGCUGGAGGUAUCAGAAGUGCGAAUGCUGACAUAAGUAACGAUAAAGCGGGUGAAAAGCCCGCUCGCCGGAAGACCAAGGGUUCCUGUCCAACGUUAAUCGGGGCAGGGUGAGUCGACCCCUAAGGC